CUAAUAAUAAAAUUAAAACUGCUUGGUCAUGAUCUUCUUCUUCCCACACACCAACAACAACACACAUCCCCAUGACACUUUUUCUUUUAAACUUCUCUCUUCUUCCACAAUCUGAAUAGUGCAUCGUUUGCAACACUAGGAGUGUAUUCGGGACCCUUGUAACCCCCUCUUUCAUUCCCACUAAGAAUCUAAACUCGAAAGGUUAUAUUUGUCGUACCGAAAAAACAAACCACCAACUUCAUACCGACAUCCCGGCCACAGCCAAUGUUGUUAGUGAAAACCGAGACCGCCUAAGAAAUCCACACAACACCUUCUUUCAUCUUCUAUGUACGAAAACACCAGCCAUUACACUUUGAAAAAUGACAUAUUGCCCCUGAUGCGGUUCUGUUUAGUUCUGAUCAGUUCAUUUGUCGUUUUUGAAAAACCUACUUUGUUUUUGGAAUAUUUGCGCCGAAACCUUUUAGACGAGAAGACUAUUAGUUUGCGCGUCAUUCGAAAGUUGACGUCGAACUAUUUCGAGGUUUUGGUGAGACCUUUCGUUGACUUUUGUUUUGUGUCGUCGUUGUCGUUGGUGCUGAAAGUCUCCCUUGAGUUUGGAGGUUGUAUGGAAGCUUUGGAAUGAGGAGCAAAACCCACUCGAGGUGGUAAAGCUCGAUUUGAGUCUGAUGUGUGUUUUCUGGUCUACUGAAUUUUCAUCCAGUGCAAUCAUGAGUGAUGAAGGAGAAAGGACUUGUCCUCUCUGUGCUGAAGAGAUGGAUUUGACAGAUCAGCAAUUGAGACCAUGCAAAUGCGGCUACCAGGUUUGAUUUUAUUUAUAUGUUCUUGUUAUUGAUCAAUAAUCUGAAGGUUUUUAUAUAACCUGUUGGAUAAGAUAAUGUUUGUGUUUUUUUGGGUAAGGUUUCUUAUCAAUUGGGUCACUUGAUUUGUUGGUCCGUGUAUAUUUUUGUAUCUGUUGAUCUAUUAACAUUUGGUAUUCUUCACUGCUUACUAUUUUGAAUCCUGUGUUUCCAAGAA